CUAACAAGGAUUCCCUCAGUAACGGCGAGUGAAGCGNGAAGAGCUCAAAUUUGAAAUCUCCGAUGCCUGCAUCGGCGAGUUGUAGUUGCGAGAAGCACUUUCUAGGCGGAUCGGUGGUGCCUAAGUUGCUUGGAACAGCACGUCGCAGAGGGUGACAACCCCGUCUGUGGCGCCGGCGGCCGCCGACGAUGUGCUUUCGAAGAGUCGGGUUGUUUGGGAAUGCAGCCCAAAACGGGUGGUAAACUCCAUCUAAAGCUAAAUACUGGCGUGAGACCGAUAGCGAAGGAAACGAAUGGACUCAGCAAUGCGCCCUUUGAGAUUCAGCCGGCGGGCGGUCUUGGCCCCGGGUUUGCGGAUCUGAAUGGACCGCGGCCCUCGGCUCUCGAUCUCCCCCGCCGUCGCACUUCUCUGGGACGCGCGUCAACGUCGGUUGGGACUGGGUCUGAAAGGUGCCGGGAAGGUAGGAGCGGGCCUCCGGGCCGGCUCUGUUACAGCCCGGCUCUCCUUCAUGGCUCGGGCCCGACCGAGGCGGUUGCAGGGCAUGCCUCUUGUGGCUAGGGUGCCGCCCUUCCGGCCGGCUGUUCCAAUGCGGUGGACUGCUUGCAGUGCUCGGCGACGGCUGCCGGUCGUUGGGGUGGUGAUCU
rnacentral:rRNA from 1 species